UUCUUGGUUGUUCCGUGGUAGAAUUCUCCUCUUCCAUGCGGGAGACCUGGGUUCGAUUCCCUGCCAAGGUA
rnacentral:tRNA from 1 species